GAUGAACGCUGGCGGCGUGCCUAAUACAUGCAAGUCGAGCGAACAGACGAGGAGCUUGCUCCUCUGACGUUAGCGGCGGACGGAUGAGUAACACGUGGAUAACCUACCUAUAAGACUGGGAUAACUUCGGGAAACCGGAGCUAAUACCGGAUAAUAUAUUGAACCGCAUGGUUCAAUAGUGAAAGACGGUUUUGCUGUCACUUAUAGAUGGAUCCGCGCCGCAUUAGCUAGUUGGUAAGGUAACGGCUUACCAAGGCGACGAUGCGUAGCCGACCUGAGAGGGUGAUCGGCCACACUGGAACUGAGCCACGGUCCAGACUCCUGCGGGAGGCAGCAGUAGGGAAUCUUCCGCAAUGGGCGAAAGCCUGACGGAGCAACGCCGCGUGAGUGAUGAAGGUCUUCGGAUCGUAAAACUCUGUUAUUAGGGAAGAACAAAUGUGUAAGUAACUAUGCACGUCUUGACGGUACCUAAUCAGAAAGCCACGGCUAACUACGUG
rnacentral:rRNA from 1 species